AGUGAGUGGCGCCACCUCCGGUCCUUUCCUCCAGCAGGUGUUCCUAAUUGGACUGAGAUCAUGAGGCAGCAGAGCUGCAGCCUCAGUUAAAUGCCUGAACGGUGUUCUCCUCAUCAUGGUUCUGCUGCUGCUCCUGCUGCUCUGCGCCCGUCAGACGGUCCAGAGCCCGAACCGAACCGCCCUGCUGCAGCACACCUACCUCAGCCUGCCCAUGUACCUGGACUGGGCCCUGCCGUUGAUCCGGAAGGACUUCUUCUCCCCGGCCAGAGGCAGCGGGCAGGGCGGCUUGCCGCGGCCGGUCCGGGAGCUGCUGCUGCCGGUGUGGCCCCGCGCCGGCGGCCCGCCCAGCGUGUCGGGGGCCGCCGUGAGGACUUCCUGUGAGCGCAACCGGAUGCAGCUGCAGGUGGAGCGGAGCGUCCUGGGCUCCGGGGAACCGGGCUCUCACCUGAAGCUGGGGACCUGCGGGGUCAGCAGGUCCACUGAGGAUCACCUCUACUUCGAAUAUGAUUUGCGCAUGUGCGGAACCAAGCGUACCAUGAUCAAUAAUCGGAUGGUUUACUUCAACAUGCUGCAUUAUGACCCUCUGAAGCCAAAAGGACCAAUCAGACGAACGGUGCCGUUCAGCGUGCCGGUGGCUUGUUCUUUUAACAGGUUUGUUUAUUCGUAUAAAGUUGGAUACUCUCCUAAGGUGCAGGUGAAGAAGUUCCUGAAAAAAUUGAAGAACGUGACUAAAUUCGUUCUGACUCCAAGAAACGCCCAGUGGAAGGAGCUUUCCGGGUCGGAUCACUUUCUCCUCGGUGAGCCCGUGUUCUUCGCCGCUGAGGCUCAGUCUUUGUCCAGAGAUGAGCGACUCUACGUCCUGUCCUGCUACGUGACUCCAGAGGAGUCCCCCUCCUCCACGCCUCAGUUUCCAGUCAUAACUAACUUUGGAUGUAUGGCUGAGAGUAAGAACAGCCGCUCCAGAUUCAUCCCACACGAAAACGACGCCGUCAGGUUUUCUGUCGAUUCCUUCGUCUUUAAGGGAGAGACGGGUCGGCUCUACAUGCACUGCAGCAUGUUGGUGAGCAGUUCAGAACCGACACCAACGGCAAAGUCCUGCAACUAUGACACCAAAACCAGAAGGUGGGUAGAGCUGUUCGGGUCCAACUCUGUGUGCGACUGCUGUGAUUCCAGCUGCAGCUCAGAUGAAUCUGCAGCAUCGAGUUUCCGUCAAAACCAGCGUGGCUUUAGAGAAGUCAGAACCUGUUUGUACCUUGGAUGAUUCUGGGCGUUGAAUCCGUCACCCUGCUGUUGUGUUGGUGUUCGAUCGGAGAACCUGGAAACCGGAAGAUGGAUGUAUUGCAUAUGAAGCUGUUUGAUCAUCCGCUGCGAAACAUUUUUAUGCAAACGUGGUUCUGUGUUCACGGCAACACAAAGAGGGAAAAAUGGAUGAACUGGAUGUUGGUGCCAAACGUGUUUGAAGUGAAGCUGGCUCUGCCGGGGAAGGAAGCAACCGGAGACCGACCCGAUAAGAGCGGAGCUCUGAAGAUGACCCAGACUCUCUUCUUGGAUGAGCCUGCUUUUGUUUCGGGCCACCAGCAGAUGAAAUGGAUUGUGUCCCAGGAGCAGGACCCAUACCCCCCAUUUCCUGUGACGGCGCAGCUGUUUCCUGUCUGAAACUGGCUGUUGAGUUUUGGACUCGUCACAGUUUUUGUCAACAGCAGUUUGUGCCGUGCAAAGAAGCCUUUCAGCCCUUCGAUACCGUGUUAACGUGUUUCUGAAACUCAACACGUUAUUCUUAGAUCCCUAAAUCAAUCAAGAAAGUUCCUUACAGCUUUUCUCUGAGUUUUAUUUCACACCAAACCGCGUGACUCACAGGAAAUGGUGGCAGUUGUGAAAUGCAGAAAGAUCUUUUGCAUGAAUUUGAAUUGUGCAAAGUUCGAAGUGACUUCUUUCCCUUGAGGGGAAGUUCUUAUAAUCCGUCCAGCAGAUCGACGGGCCUGACAUGGAGAUGUACUGCAGCUCAUCCUGCAGAACAUCCACAUCACCCAUUAACACUCUAUCUACCUCUGUUUAAAUAAAGAUGUUCGUUGAUCUCUGUGGCAUUUGAGUCGUCUUUAACUGAGCCGUACGUUUCCAGGAUGUUACUCAUUCUGCUCAAACGUGUGAAACUCGGCGCCGUUGGCACGAGUUCACCUGAAGCUGCUGUGAGAAGUUUUCCUCCACACCUGCCAGGUAAAUGUUCUGCAGAAUGUUAUAACACUGAAUCAGUGUUUGGGUGAAGCUGACCACAGACCGUCUUCCUCCAUCUCACCCCAACCGAACCCUCUGCUAACCUCAGUCUGAGCACCAGGAACCAUUCUGUGGUCUCCGCCUUCUUCCUCCCUGCCAGCUUCUCCAUUAAUUAACCUCCAAUAUUUGUCUUCUGUGAAUGUCCAAACCACCUGAAUCUAACUUUCACCACCAUCACAUGUUUGACUGCAGGAGCUUUAAUUAUUCAGUUCCUCCAUUUCCUGCUUCGUUUUCUCACUAAGCGUCACAGUUUUGAUCUGUGAACAUCAGAGACGAAACAAAACCUCCAAAUCACCACAAUCAGUCCAUCAAAGAGGAUUAGACUCAAUAAUUCACCAUUAAGUCAGAUUUCACUUCAGAGGUUGAGAGUGCAUCCAAACCUUUUAGAUGAACAGAAAAUGAGCUGAAUGCCCAAAAGAAAAGACUAAAUAAAAUGUA